rnacentral:rRNA from 1 species
AGAACGAACGCUGGCGGCAGGCCUAACACAUGCAAGUCGAACGCUCGUAGCAAUACGAGAGUGGCAGACGGGUGAGUAACGCGUGGGAACGUACCCUUCGGUUCGGAAUAACCCGGGGAAACUCGGGCUAAUACCAGAUACGUCCGCAAGGAGAAAGAUUUAUCGCCGAAGGAUCGGCCCGCGUCGGAUUAGCUAGUUGGUGAGGUAACGGCUCACCAAGGCGACGAUCCGUAGCUGGUCUGAGAGGAUGAUCAGCCACACUGGGACUGAGACACGGCCCAGACUCCUACGGGAGGCAGCAGUGGGGAAUAUUGGACAAUGGGACGAAGCCUGAUCCAGCCAUGCCGCGUGAGUGAAGAAGGCCGUUAAGGGUGUAAAGCUCGUUUCAGGUCGGGAAGAUAAUAGACGGUACCG